UUUAUGGAGAGUUUGAUCCUGGCUCAGGAUGAACGCUGGCGGCGUGCCUAAUACAUGCAAGUCGAGCGAACGGACGAGAAGCUUGCUUCUCUGAUGUUAGCGGCGGACGGGUGAGUAACACGUGGAUAACCUACCUAUAAGACUGGGAUAACUUCGGGAAACCGGAGCUAAUACCGGAUAAUAUUUUGAACCGCAUGGUUCAAAAGUGAAAGACGGUCUUGCUGUCACUUAUAGAUGGAUCCGCGCUGCAUUAGCUAGUUGGUAAGGUAACGGCUUACCAAGGCAACGAUGCAUAGCCGACCUGAGAGGGUGAUCGGCCACACUGGAACUGAGACACGGUCCAGACUCCUACGGGAGGCAGCAGUAGGGAAUCUUCCGCAAUGGGCGAAAGCCUGACGGAGCAACGCCGCGUGAGUGAUGAAGGUCUUCGGAUCGUAAAACUCUGUUAUUAGGGAAGAACAUAUGUGUAAGUAACUGUGCACAUCUUGACGGUACCUAAUCAGAAAGCCACGGCUAACUACGUGCCAGCAGCCGCGGUAAUACGUAGGUGGCAAGCGUUAUCCGGAAUUAUUGGGCGUAAAGCGCGCGUAGGCGGUUUUUUAAGUCUGAUGUGAAAGCCCACGGCUCAACCGUGGAGGGUCAUUGGAAACUGGAAAACUUGAGUGCAGAAGAGGAAAGUGGAAUUCCAUGUGUAGCGGUGAAAUGCGCAGAGAUAUGGAGGAACACCAGUGGCGAAGGCGACUUUCUGGUCUGUAACUGACGCUGAUGUGCGAAAGCGUGGGGAUCAAACAGGAUUAGAUACCCUGGUAGUCCACGCCAUAAACGAUGAGUGCUAAGUGUUAGGGGGUUUCCGCCCCUUAGUGCUGCAGCUAACGCAUUAAGCACUCCGCCUGGGGAGUACGACCGCAAGGUUGAAACUCAAAGGAAUUGACGGGGACCCGCACAAGCGGUGGAGCAUGUGGUUUAAUUCGAAGCAACGCGAAGAACCUUACCAAAUCUUGACAUCCUUUGACAACUCUAGAGAUAGAGCCUUCCCCUUCGGGGGACAAAGUGACAGGUGGUGCA
rnacentral:rRNA from 1 species